UACGUAGGGUGCAAGCGUUAAUCGGAAUUACUGGGCGUAAAGCGUGCGCAGGCGGCUAGACAAGUCAGGGGUGAAAUCCUGGGGCUUAACCCCAGAAUUGCCUUUGAAACUGUCUGGCUAGAGACUCGGAGGGGAUAGCGGAAUUCCUAAUGUAGCGGUGAAAUGCGUAGAUAUUAGGAGGAACACCAGUGGCGAAGGCGACUAUCUGGACGAGUACUGACGCUCAUGCACGAAAGCGCGGGGAUCAAACAGG
rnacentral:rRNA from 1 species